rnacentral:rRNA from 1 species
UGAGGAAUAUUGGACAAUGGGUGAGAGCCUGAUCCAGCCAUCCCGCGUGAAGGACGACGGCCCUAUGGGUUGUAAACUUCUUUUGUAUAGGGAUAAACCUACUCCUCGUGAGAGUAGCUGAAGGUACUAUACGAAUAAGCACCGGCUAACUCCGUG